rnacentral:rRNA from 1 species
UACGGAGGGGGCUAGCGUUGUUCGGAAUUACUGGGCGUAAAGCGCACGUAGGCGGCUUUGCAAGUUAGAGGUGAAAUCCCUCGGCUCAACUGAGGAAUGGCACGGGAAACUGACGGGCUUGAGUUCGGGAGAGGGAAGCGGAAUUCCGGGUGUAGCGGUGAAAUGCGUAGAUAUCCGGAGGAACACCGGUGGCGAAGGCGGCUUCCUGGACCGACACUGACGCUGAGGCGCGAAAGCUAGGGGAGCAAACGGG